rnacentral:rRNA from 1 species
GCAAGCCCUCGCUGAAGGAUGAGUUCGCGUACCAUUAGCUUGUUGGUAGGGUAAUGGCCUACCAAGGCGACGAUGGUUAGCUGGUCUGAGAGGAUGAUCAGCCACACUGGAACUGAGAUACGGUCCAGACUCCUACGGGAGGCAGCAGUGAGGAAUCUUGCGCAAUGGGGGAAACCCUGACGCAGCAACGCCGCGUGAGUGAGGAAGGUCUUCGGAUCGUAAAGCUCUGUCAGUUGGAAAGAAAUGUCUGAGAGUCAAUCCCUUUCAGACUUGACGGUACCAACAGAGGAAGCACCGGCUAACUCCGUGCCAGCAGCCGCGGUAAUACGGGGGGUGCAAGCGUUGUUCGGAAUUAUUGGGCGUAAAGAGCGUGUAGGCGGCCGGAUAUGUCAGAUGUGAAAGCCCCGGGCUUAACCCGGGAAGUGCAUUUGAAACUGUCCGGCUCGAGUAGGGGAGAGGGAAGUGGAAUUCCUGGUGUAGAGGUGAAAUUCGUAGAUAUCAGGAGGAACACCGGUGGCGAAGGCGACUUCCUGGCCCUAUACUGACGCUGAGACGCGAGAGCGUGGGUAGCAAACAGGAUUAGAUACCCUGGUAGUCCACGCCGUAAACGAUGUUCACUAGGUGUUGGGGGUAUUGACCCCCUCAGUGCCGGAGCUAACGCA